ACCUAGCAGGUAACGUUAUCCGCCUAUAGGGUUAUGAAAAUGGUCACCUGGCCCUCAACAUUAACUGAAAUCCACGUAAUUUUGAUAUCAGUUCAUGUAAAGCUAGCAUUUUAAAGCUACGGCCAUUAAAAAAAAAAACAUGAAAUAUGGAGAAACUAAUCCCUUUUUUUCUAGUUCUCUGUUCUUAAGUUCUCAGAAUUCCUCCCCCUCACUCUGUCCAAGUUAAAAAUAAAGUCUUGGCUCUUUCGUGGGAUUUUGCUUAAGGGGCAAGACAACAUUACAAUGUUCAUCAAAUGUUUUGUUGAAACCGUUUUGGUUGUUCCAUUGCCCGCACACAGUUUGUGUUAGCUUAGCACCAUAAAGUGGAACCAAAUAAUUGAAAACCCUAAACCAGAACCAAUAAGUGUGUAUGUGCCGAGCUUCAGAUAUGUAUUAUUUGUGUGUUUCCGUGCUGUAUUUAUACUAUUAUGUGUUAUGCUGACAUUUUUGAAUUCCUUUUGUUAUUAAAUGUUAAUUUAAAAAAAAAAUUGUAAACAGGAUGGCAAAGGGCAUUUAUUGAUAGUGCAACUGGAUAUGGCUGCUUUGAUAUUACACAGUUAGAUGAUCUAUUACUCGAUUAGCUUCCAAUGACGUCUUGCUUCUUCAGUUAAAUGAAGGAGGAGUGGCAGACAGGGCAGAGUCCAUGCUUAUUUAUGGAUCCUGUAUUUCCUCUUUUUUGCAGUUUUCCUUCUCCAGCCUUCACACUUUGGUCAGAUUAAAGUGUUAAGAUAGUGGAUUGCACAAUGGAGGACUGAAACGCCUGUGGGAUGCCUGGGUGAGCGCGGGCUGGCAUGCCGUCCCUUCACCACCAUUCCCGCCCCAGAUGCAGCGGAGUAACCAGAGCUCUGCAGCAGGUGCCUCGCCCCUGCCGGGAUGGCCAAUGGACCCCUCUGUGGAAAAAAAGGUCAAAGGUCACGCUCACACUGGGCACGGUUGAGUAAGAAAUGAAAAACAUGGCAAGAUGAAGCCCCAGCACAGACAACAGCUGACAAAAUACGUCUCUGUCAGGCGCACCUGCUGCUGUAUGUCAGUUCAGUUUCAUCAUCCCCUCCUCCUGCCCCCAGACGGUUCGGCUCGCACCUUCCGCCACCACAUCUGUGAGGCCGUGUGGCAGCCCACGAGGACACAGGCACAUGAUUCCUGCGGUGUAAUGUUCCCCCUUGUUUGUUUCCCAAAAUAACCCUAGCUCACCUAUAGUCUUUCUGACCUCGACACCCUCACCUUCCACAAGCUGCGGAGCGAAGAUGAAAACAGCCAUUAGCACAGUCUGUUCUGGACUAGAGGCAAUCUGGUUAAGGUUAGCCUAGACUUUGACACCUGGUGGUGACAUUUUAUUCUUCACAAAUAAACGUGGGGUAAUUGAAACAGUGAACAUGGAAAGGGAAUGCUUGGACACUCUACCAGAACUUUCCACUGAGAGCCAUUUGAUAUGCAGCUUAAGUUUCCUGAUGCAUUGAAGAGAAUGAAACACCAACUUAAGUCUCCCUUGAAACUUUUUAAUGACAAACACCAUCUAAUUACUUUGUUUCACAAUCACAGUUUAAAAACAAAGAAUUUAAUUCUGUAAUUCCCAACUUUAUUUCUGGCUUUUCGGAGCUUGAAAAUACUUAAAAUUCCAAAAGUCUGGUAUUUAAAUGUGUCAAUGCUGUAUUUCCACUUCCGGUUCACUUACACACACGCACACACACAUCUGGAACAGAACCAAUAUUCAAAAAUGGAGAUAAAUUUGACCCAAACAAUUACCGAGGCAUCUGUGUGAAAAGUAAUCUGGGGAAGCUUCUUUGUAGUAUCAUAAAUUCUAGACUAUUAACUUUCCUUCAAAAAUACAAUGUCUUGAGUAGAAGUCUGGAUUCUUAUCAAAUCACAACACAACUGAUCAUAUUUACACCCUACACACCCUAAUUGAGAAACAUGUAACCCAAAACCAAAAAAGAAUAUUUGCUUGCUUUGUUGAUUUUAGAAAAGCAUUUGAUUCUAUUUGGCAUUAAGUAUUAUUCUACAAAGUCAUCGAACGUGGUGUAUGGGGUAAAACCUAUGAUCUCGUUAAAUCAAUGGGAACAAAUGCAGUGUAAAAAAUGGCAAAAAAAAAGAGAGAACAAAUUUCUUCUCUCAGGAGUGUGGGGUGAGACAGCGCUGUAACCUAACCCCAACACUAUUCAAUAUCUAUAUUAAUGAAUUGGCAAACAUAUUAGAAAAAUCUGCAGUGCCUGGUCUCACUCUACCCGACUCAGAGAUGAAGUGUCUGUUCUAUGCAGAUGGCCUGGUUCAGAAUAAAUCAAAUUGCAACAAAAUAAUUUUACUUCUUGGGAAUCACAAACAAAAUCACAAAGUAAAAAGAAAUGUCAUCUGGCCCCAAAAAUAAUACACUGUAGCAAACUACCUGACCACAGUUACUGACAAAAAAAUCCAAAAAAACUGAGAACCACCUUAACGAGGUACAGACACAGCAAGCACCACCUAGCCACAGAGACCGGCAGGCACAAGAAAUCAUGGCUGCCAGAAGAAAGAAGAUUGUGCCAACAAUGUAAAGACAAUAAAAUUAAAACAGAGAAACACUUCCUGAUUGAAUGUGCCAAAUUCACCCAAAUUCGCCAAAAAAUUCUACCCCCAAAUUAGCCAAAAAAUGUCUCCGAUUCAACAAUACACCUGGCGCAGAAAAGCUAGGGGAAACAAAGACUGCUGCAUACUAGCAGCACUAUUUUUGUUCUCUUGUCACACUCUGUGAGUGACCCUGUUAUGCAAACAUACACUGUUCUCUGAAACAUGUAUUGCCAGCCAUCCCUUCUUCUCAUUCUGCUGUCCACCAGGUGAGCUGUGCAGCCACUUCCGUGGGCGGAGUCUGUACACUUCAGGUGCGGGUGACCAAUGCAGGCGGACCAAUGGAGAACAGUAAUGUUGAGCAGGGAGGUGUGGGCAGCGCUGCUGCAGACUGAAACCACCCCUCCCUGGGUGAUGCUAUUGGGAAUUGCGUGUUGCCCUGCAGUUCAUCCAUCCACAUUCAGUGGCAGCUGGCAGCUGGCAUGGCCAGGAUUAGAUCCAUGAUGUGGGACACAAUGCUGCACCGGGAUUUACUGCUGUAAUAUUUCUGCAGUAAUAUUUUUCUAAUAAUAUAAUGACUGAUUUCCAUACCACACAGGAUGAAACCGCUGUCUUUAAAUGGGUUUAUUUCUCUAGUAUCUAAUCUUAUCAUUUGGAGACAUAAUUAAAUGCAUGGCACUCCAUGAAGGUUGUGGGGGUGAUAUGGAAUUCCCUCUUGGUUGUUUAAUUUGUCUGCACCUGAUAUAGACUUGUGUCCUCUUUCACAGUUCCUACUGGCAUGUCUGGGCAUGUUGUUUGCACUCCUCCCUAGAAUAUCUAAGUGCUCUGUCAUAAAAAACACAUGACUGAGGCUGAUGAACUUGACCCCAGAGAAUCGGUUAGCCUUAGCUGAGCUGCAGCAGAUGUCACUUAAUUACUACAACAUACAGCAUGAAUAAGCCCAUAACAUCUCUAGAAAAAAAACGGUUGUUUGUAAUGAACACAGAAAAUUACACUUUCUGUGUUGUGUUUUAUUAUACUGUGCAGCCAUUAAAGU